AAAAGAAAUCAGUUCAGCACUAAGUCACUUUGUCUUUAUGGCAAAUGUGAGAUGCAGUGUAUGGAAUGUUCAAUUUCUAGUAUGAGAAAUUAACGAUUUAAGUCCUUCUUAAAUGAGGCCAUUUACCCAUAGAGGGUGCCAGGCCCGUAUAACGUUAAUGAUUACUAGAGAACAUUUCCAAAGAGUCGUGUUGCUUGAUAGUGCAGCACUAAGUGGGUGGUAAACUCCAUCUAAAACUAAAUAUAACCAUGAGACCGAURGUAAACAAGUACCGUGAGGGAAAGUUGAAAAGAACUCUGAAUAGAGAGUUAAAUAGUACGUGAAACUGCUUAGAGGUUAAGCCCGAUGAACCUGAAUAUCCAUUAUGGAAAAUUCAUCAUUAUGAUUGUAAUAUUAAUAAUAUUAUAAUAAUGUUGUGCAUUUUUUCCAUAUAAGGACAUUGUAAUCUAUUAACAUAUACAAUUUAUCAUAAGAUCAAUGGCACAAGUUUAUUCAAAUUAUUUUGCUUGCAAUUUAACAUAGAAUAAAUGCUGUUGAUUCGAUAAAGUGUUGAUAGAUUUAUUAUAUAUAGUGCUUAAAUAUAUUUAUAUAUUUUAUAAUAGCAUAUUGAUCAUUGAUUUUUAUGUU
rnacentral:rRNA from 1 species